rnacentral:rRNA from 1 species
UACGUAGGGGGCAAGCGUUGUCCGGAUUUACUGGGUGUAAAGGGUGCUCAGGCGGGUUUGUAAGUCAGUGGUGAAAUCCCGGAGCUUAACUCCGGAACUGCCAUAGAAACUGCAAGCCUAGAGUACGGAAGAGGUUGAUGGAAUAUCUGGUGUAGCAGUGAAAUGCGUAGAUAUCAGAUAGAACACCAAUGGCGAAGGCAGUCAACUGGUCCGUUACUGACGCUAAAGCACGAAAGUGUGGGGAGCAAACAGG